AUUGAACGCUGGCGGCAGGCCUAACACAUGCAAGUCGAGCGGCAGCACGGGUACUUGUACCUGGUGGCGAGCGGCGGACGGGUGAGUAAUGCCUAGGAAUCUGCCUGGUAGUGGGGGAUAACGCUCGGAAACGGACGCUAAUACCGCAUACGUCCUACGGGAGAAAGCAGGGGACCUUCGGGCCUUGCGCUAUCAGAUGAGCCUAGGUCGGAUUAGUUAGUUGGUGAGGUAAUGGCUCACCAAGGCGACGAUCCGUAACUGGUCUGAGAGGAUGAUCAGUCACACUGGAACUGAGACACGGUCCAGACUCCUACGGGAGGCAGCAGUGGGGAAUAUUGGACAAUGGGCGAAAGCCUGAUCCAGCCAUGCCGCGUGUGUGAAGAAGGUCUUCGGAUUGUAAAGCACUUUAAGUUGGGAGGAAGGGCAGUUACCUAAUACGUAUCUGUUUUGACGUACCGA
rnacentral:rRNA from 1 species